rnacentral:tRNA from 3 species
GCUGGAGUGGCGGAACUGGCAGACGCACGGGACUCAAAAUCCCGCAUCCUUCACUGGGUAUGAGGGUUCGACUCCCUCCUCCAGCACCA